GACGAGCCUCACAAACGUUAUUCGGAAUUACUGGGCUUAAAGGGUGCGUAGGCGGCGCGGAAAGUUGGGUGUGAAAUCCCUCGGCUCAACCGAGGAACUGCGCCCAAAACUACCGUGCUCGAGGAAGAUAGAGGUGAGCGGAACUUACGGUGGAGCGGUGAAAUGCGUUGAUAUCGUAAGGAACACCCGUGGCGAAGGCGAAUCCCUGGAAAAUACCUGACACUGAGGCACGAAAGCUAGGGGAGCAAACAGG
rnacentral:rRNA from 1 species